rnacentral:rRNA from 1 species
UGAUAAGGGAAUCCAGAGUGCUUAUACUAUGUAUAGGCUUUUGCCAAAGGCAAAUACUUUGGCGAAUAAGUGGUGGGUAAGACUGGUGCCAGCAGCCGCGGUAACACCAGCGCCACAAGUGGGAACCACAUUUAUUGGGUCUAAAGCGUUCGUAGCCUGUUUAGUAAAUCUUCUGUGAAAUUGUUGGGCUUAACCCAACAGCGUGCAGAAGACACUACUAAACUUGAGACCGGGAGGAGUUAGGAGUAUGCUUGGGGGAGCGGUAAAAUGCUAUAAUCCCUUGUAGACUACCAGUGGCGAAGGCGCCUAACUAGAACGGGUCUGACGGUGAGGGACGAAAGCCAGGGGAGCAAUCCGGAUUAGAUACGAGAAGUCAUCUUACAGAUAACUUCUGGAAUUAGCUCGCAAGAUUGCAAUAAUCAUCACUUUGCGAGUUAAGGAAAGAAGCGAACAAUGUUGACUUGCUCGCUAAUUACCCGAGUAGUCCUGGCUGUAAACGCUGCGAGCUAGGUGUUGCACAUUCUUCGUGAAUGUGCAGUGUCGAAGCGAAGGCAUUAAGCUCGCCACCUGGGAAGUAUGGUCGCAAGA